rnacentral:rRNA from 1 species
AACGAACGCUGGCGGCAUGCCUAACACAUGCAAGUCGAACGAGACCUUCGGGUCUAGUGGCGCACGGGUGCGUAACGCGUGGGAACCUGCCCUUAGGUUCGGAAUAACUCCCCGAAAGGGGUGCUAAUACCGGAUAAUGUCUUCGGACCAAAGAUUUAUCGCCUUUGGAUGGGCCCGCGUUGGAUUAGCUAGUUGGUAGGGUAAAAGCCUACCAAGGCGACGAUCCAUAGCUGGUCUGAGAGGAUGAUCAGCCACACUGGGACUGAGACACGGCCCAGACUCCUAGGGGGGGAAGCAGGGGGGAAAAUGGGAAAAGGGGCGAAAGCCGGAUCCAGAAAGGCCGGGGGAGUGAUGAAGGCCUUAGGGUUUUAAAGCUCUUUUACCCGGGAUGAAAAUGAAAGAACCGGGAAAAAAAGCCCCGGCAAACUCCGU